rnacentral:lncRNA from 1 species
AAUCACCCGACGCCUCAGCUGCUGUAGUGGUUUCGGGCAUGCCCAUAGAGAGAAGUUUAAGUUCGAGGCCUUGUUAUUAAUAGUUUGGGAACUUCAGCAAUCGUUGUUGCUGAAGUCAGAUGACGAAUUGCACAUUUAUAGUUCUUCUAUGUAUAAAUGCAAGAUCUCGUGUGCUUGACUCCUGCAUAAAAUCAUUUGAGUUUGAGGCCUUGUAUUUAUUUUUAAAAUUCUAUCCACGUACAUGCGGACCCGACAUUCCAAUCCAACCUGAAGGCAGCCUCGAGUUUAGCUUCAAUCCAAGGGAAAUUGGCCGUGUCCUUGCGUGAUUUUUAAGAAAUCACAGCACAUGCAUAGCGCCUACCAGUUACCAUUCUGAAGAUAACCCGAUUACCGGCUCUGGUGAUUGUUGCGAUGCAGUAACAACUUGCAUUUGUUAGCCAAUCUAUGGUUUCAUUGUCCUGCAUUAAUAAAUUCGAGAUAAUAAGAAACUGUAC